rnacentral:lncRNA from 1 species
UUCUAUCAUAUUUUAAAAAAGAACAGGAAAGUUUGGCUAAGACAUGCUUAUUGGGUGUAUUAGGGAGUUCAUGUGAAGCAAAGAUAGUUAAGGACGUGUUGGCUAAGACAUGCUUAUUGGGUAUAUUAGGGAGUUCAUGUGAACCAAAGAUAGUUAAGGACAAGUCGAAAAACUUCAUGUGUGAAGAGGACUGGCCAGAUGAAAAACUAGAGCACCAAGACAUUUGCUCUUUUAAUUAGUUGAUAAAUAUAACUUUUGGGACAAAUAGCAAAUAUCAUGCGGUUUUAGUUUUUGAUGUGGCCAGUCUCCAUCACAUAUGAUGUUUUUUGGACUUCUCCUUAACUAUAUUUGCUUCCCAGGAACUCACAUAUGCAUACCAGUAAGCAUGUUUUUGCCAAUAUUUUCUAGUUUUUUUCUUAUGAAAACAAGACGGUUCUUCAUCAAUUACUACUGGAAUGGAAUAAUGCCUAUCUUUUUAUCCUAUAUUUAUCCAAUUUUUAUUACCUCCUUUUAGUAUAUGCUGGAAUCGCUACUCAUGAAGAAAUAUAAUCCAGUAUAUUGCCAAGGAGAAGUGGAAAAUAAUGGAGAAUUUGUAAUUAAAUAAAUUUAGUGAAACUAAAUGAUUUAAUAUUUAGUUUACUGUAUAUUAUAGUGGAGUUUUAUAUUGUAAAAGCACUAUAUCCUGUAAUUACUACUGCAA